GCUGCUGGCUGAAGUGAUUGUUUUUGCGGUGGAAAUCACGUUUUAUAAAAAAAAAAAAAAAUUUCUUUAUUUUCUUUUAUUUUGAUGCAUAUUAAAAAUAAUUUAUUUAUUUAUGUAUUUAUUUUGCUGAAAGUACUACACUGACAAUUACAAACACCAUAUUCAUGUCAGAUAUCAACAGCAUCGGAAGGAAGGAGAGGUGGGAAUUUUGCCAAUCCAUUACUAGUUACUACGUACGUCACCAUCUCCUUGUCGAUCUCCCAGUUGUUUUUCAGAACCUAUAUUCAUAGCAGCUCAUGACUUCACUGGAGUAGGAAUCCAGGCACUCUUUCCCUCUCUGAAAUAUUUCAUUAAUUUCUUUUUUUUUAUAUAUUUAUGUCCUGAUUUGCCUAGAUCAAAGUUAGAGUGGGGGAACACGGUAGUACUACUCUGCGUCCUCUUGAUUUGGCUGUAAAUUGCUUAUCAGUGAAGCAAGAGGAGGGGUCCUGUUAAUAUCACUCCGUGCUUGUUAAUGUUGGAUGCUUUAUUAUUAUUGUUAUUUUUUAAAAAAUAUUUACUGAUUCAUUUAUUUUUUCCCAUCCAUUUGUCUAGUUUCCAGGUUGUUGCUCAUACUCAGGUAAGUCCCAUUGAAGUUUUAGAUUGUUAAUUGUUAUUUCUUUUUUCUUUCCUAUUUUUAAUGCUUAAUGCCCUGUUUUGAAUAUGAAUGCAAUUUCAAAUUCUUUGAUUCACAUCAAUGGAGUUGUCAGGGUUUUUUUUUUUUUUUGUGAUAUGUUAUGUAUUUCUAAUAUCUGACUUGUAAGAAUUCAAGUGCGUGGAGUAUAUUCCUCGGCUUUUAUUUUUCAUUUUCUUGUCUCUUUGUUCCUCUCAUUUUCAUGAGCCUCAAAAUCAUGUGUAAAUCGUGAAGGGUCCAGCAUGGUUUCAUGCCAUGUUUCAUUGUUUCUCAAGGUCCUGGGAGAAACCUUUAGAUUUGAUCAUGGGCUCGUUGUUGAGACUCCCAAUUGUAUGCUUUUUGAAUGCUCUGUGAUAUUUUAGUCCUUGCUUUUAUCAAUGUAAGAUUGGCUCAGGUUAGGGACCUUUAUUUUUUCAAGAUUCUUCGGUGGUUUUUGGUUUCUGGGGUUUUCUCCAGCUUCUUUCAUAGUUAGUUUCCUUAUUAAAGCACCUUUGUUCGAUAUUAGCUGUCAUGCUAGACACAUUAGUGCUCUGGGGAUGGUGUUUUUUUCAUGUGUCUAUUGCUUACUUUACCUUGGUGUGCGAUGCGCAAGUGUUUUUCCUAUCUCUCUCGAGGGAAAUCUUUCAUGGAUCUUACGUGUGUUGUUUCUGUUUCUGUCUUGCAUACUGAUUCAGUUUCCUUUUCCUUUUCUGUGAUGUUUGCCAUCCUGUUGACAAAUCUUGACGGUCGAUAAUGUUCCUGAUGUUGUUUUGCACCAUUACCCUGCCUGUUUAUGGUCUCUAGCUUGUACCAUCGCUGCUCAUGUUGUUCUUGCCUCCAAUCUUGAGUUUUUUUCAUCAUUCUGCCAUUGUUUCCGUCUGUGCAUGAUGCCUUUCACUAACAAACAAAUGUACUCUGCUGUUUAUUUCAUCACCAACCAAUUCAGAUAAAUUCAUGCACCAUGGUUUGGUGCUCCCAUCAUUGGUUUUAUUAAAGGAAUGGACAGCACGCUGCUAUGAAGUCUACUUGAAAGGAACUGAUCCCAUGAGCUACAGCGUGCAAGUUGUGGAAAAACAAGGAUCAUUCCUCUAUGAAGAUGACUAUUCCAGCUUUCGACAUAGUUUUAAAACCUAGCCUAGUAGUUCGAUCCAAGACCUAGCUGAUCUUGAACUGAAACCAGGUCGGGUUUAAGUAAAGAUAGGGGAACGCAAAAACUCGGGUGACUCGGUCAAAAACCCGAGUUGACCUGAUGAUUUGGUUGACCUGGCAAGACUUGGUUGUAAACCAUAGACUAUAUAUUUUUUUAACAAAAACAACAUUGUUUUGUUUUGUUUUUUUUUUUAAAUUAGCCUGGUCAAAUUUAUAAUCCAAGUCUUGAUCUGGGUUAUUCACUUGAUCAAGUUUAAAAACUAUGUUUUUUAGCCGUGUAGCUGACUUUGAAUUUUGGUACGUCAUUUAGGAUUUUGGUCCAUUUGGUUUUUGUCUGGACAAGUCCUCGACUUCUUAACAAAAUACACUUUCAUAUUAUAGCUCACGGGCUGUUCUUAUGCUAUGCAGUCUGUAUCUUUUGUCACCAAAAAUGUUUAGCCUGGUUUAUUUAUUUUGCUACACAGAACUAGCUUUUUAUGUACUAGCCUUAUUAGUGUUGUUGAAGUAGAUGCGUUUGUAGCAUUUGUUCAACCAAGCGCAGGCACUGAUACUAGCUUAUUACCAUCGGAGAUGGCGAGAGAGGGAGGCAGAGCAUGGUUGUUUCUGGGUGGCAGAUACGCAGGCACAAGGUUGUCUCCUCGAAACCAAAGGCAUGUACCGACAAAGAAAUACAACACUUUUCAUCCCUCGUCAUAUUUUAGCAAAAUCCAAAAGCAGAAAAAUGAUUUCAUUUUUAGCGUUAUGCAAAGAGAGAUGCAGCAAGAUAGAGGAGUGAGUGAAGAUGUGGAGCCAAAUUAAGAAGGCAGAUUGAAGCCGACGCAGGGAGAUGAUCAACAGCAGUAGCAUCCACAGAAGUGCCAGUCGCUGUCUCUCUGAAUACUUUGUUUUUUGGUUCUGAAUAUGAAGUUUUCUUAUUAAAACAAUUGAGGUUUGUUUGAAAUAAUAUAAUAUAAUGUAAUCAGUAAUGGAAA